UAUCGGCCAAUUCCUAGGCACAUUGCCGGA
rnacentral:sRNA from 1 species